AUUGAACGCUGGCGGCAUGCCUUACACAUGCAAGUCGAACGGCAGCACGGGAGCAAUCCUGGUGGCGAGUGGCGAACGGGUGAGUAAUAUAUCGGAACGUGCCCAGUAGUGGGGGAUAACUGCUCGAAAGAGCAGCUAAUACCGCAUACGACCUGAGGGUGAAAGGGGGGGAUCGCAAGACCUCUCGCUAUUGGAGCGGCCGAUAUCAGAUUAGCUAGUUGGUGGGGUAAAGGCCUACCAAGGCAACGAUCUGUAGUUGGUCUGAGAGGACGACCAGCCACACUGGGACUGGGACACGGCCCAGACUCCUACGGGAGGCAGCAGUGGGGAAUUUUGGACAAUGGGCGCAAGCCUGAUCCAGCAAUGCCGCGUGCAGGAAGAAGGCCUUCGGGUUGUAAACUGCUUUUGUCAGGGAAGAAAAGGUUCUGGCUAAUACCUGGGACUCAUGACGGUACCUGAAGAAUAAGCACCGGCUAACUACGUGCCAGCCGCCGCCGUAAUAC
rnacentral:rRNA from 1 species